CCGCUCCACUAGGCGGCGGAAGCGGCUUCACGUUCAGUCUGAGCGCUUCAGAUGAGUGACAGAAUGACGCUUGUUGUGACAGCAUGUGCAGACCGUUUAAAAUACAGAUCCUGCAGAUGACAGCUCUGGGACAGUGUUUUUAAUGUCAUUAAACAGCAUCUAUUCCAGCACAAAAACAAACAAAACCGACACCCGCUGCGAUAAAGUGCAGGAAUCGAGAGUCACUAGUAAGGGAUGUGUUUGAACAGAAGCAGAGCUCUGGGACGUGUGGACAGACUUUCACUGUAAUGAUGGACAUCCGCUGAUGGACAGAAGUAUAACCCCUGCUGGACAUCGUGCCGGGGCUCGGGGGGGACCCGAAUCAUCCCCACGCCUUCAUUCACACAACACUCACUCAUAUCGCAGAGAUCUGGCUGGGAUCGAACCAGCAACCUCUGAACCGUGA
rnacentral:lncRNA from 1 species